rnacentral:rRNA from 1 species
AGCGAACGCUGGCGGUAGGCUUAACACAUGCCAGUCGAGCGGGCAUCUUCGGAUGUCAGCGGCAGACGGGUGAGUAACACGUGGGAACGUACCCUUCGGUUCGGAACAACUCUGGGAAACUGGAGCUAAUACCGGAUACGCCCUUAUGGGGAAAGGUUUACUGCCGAAGGAUCGGCCCGCGUCUGAUUAGCUAGUUGGUGGGGUAACGGCCUACCAAGGCGACGAUCAGUAGCUGGUCUGAGAGGAUGAUCAGCCACACUGGGACUGAGACACGGCCCAGACUCCUACGGGAGGCAGCAGUGGGGAAUAUUGGACAAUGGGCGCAAGCCUGAUCCAGCCAUGCCGCGUGAGUGAUGAAGGCCUUAGGGUUGUAAAGCUCUUUUGUCCGGGACGAUAAUGACGGUACCGGAAGAAUAAGCCCCGGCUAACUUCGUG